rnacentral:rRNA from 1 species
AUUGAACACUGGCGGCAUGCCUUACACAUGCAAGUCGAACGGCAGCACGGGUGCUUGCACCUGGUGGCGAGUGGCGAACGGGUGAGUAAUACAUCGGAACAUGUCCUGUAGUGGGGGAUAGCCCGGCGAAAGCCGGAUUAAUACCGCAUACGAUCUACGGAUGAAAGCGGGGGACCUUCGGGCCUCGCGCUAUAGGGUUGGCCGAUGGCUGAUUAGCUAGUUGGUGGGGUAAAGGCCUACCAAGGCGACGAUCAGUAGCUGGUCUGAGAGGACGACCAGCCACACUGGGACUGAGACACGGCCCAGACUCCUACGGGAGGCAGCAGUGGGGAAUUUUGGACAAUGGGCGAAAGCCUGAUCCAGCAAUGCCGCGUGUGUGAAGAAGGCCUUCGGGUUGUAAAGCACUUUUGUCCGGAAAGAAAUCCUUGGCCCUAAUACGGUCGGGGGAUGACGGUACCGGAAGAAUAAGCACCGGCUAACUACGUG